UACAGAGGGUGCAAGCGUUAAUCGGAGUUACUGGGCGUAAAGGGCGCGUAGGCGGUUAGACAAGUAAGAUGUGAAAUCCCUGGGCUUAACCUAGGAAUUGCAUUUUAAACUGUGUAGCUAGAGUGCAGUAGAGGGUAGUGGAAUUUCCGGUGUAGCGGUGAAAUGCGUAGAGAUCGGAAGGAACACCAGUGGCGAAGGCGACUACCUGGACUGACACUGACGCUGAGGCGCGAGAGCGUGGGGAGCAAACAGG
rnacentral:rRNA from 1 species